UACGAAGGGGGCUAGCGUUGUUCGGAAUUACUGGGCGUAAAGCGCGCGCAGGCGGCUAUCCAAGUCAGUGGUGAAAGCCCGGAGCUCAACUCCGGAACUGCCAUUGAAACUGUUUAGCUUGAGGACGAGAGAGGUGAGUGGAGUUCCCAGUGUAGAGGUGAAAUUCGUAGAUAUUGGGAAGAACACCGGUGGCGAAGGCGGCUCACUGGCUCGUUUCUGACGCUCAGGCGCGAUAGCGUGGGGAUCAAACAGG
rnacentral:rRNA from 1 species